CCUACGGGGGGCAGCAGUCGAGAAUCUUCCUCAAUGGGCGAAAGCCUGAAGGAGCGACGCCGCGUGUAUGAAGAAGCCCCUCGGGGUGUAAAGUACUUUUAACUGUGAAAAAACAAUGAUGGUAGCAGUUGAAUAAGGGGCUGCUAACCUCGUGCCAGCAGCAGCGGUAAUACGAGGGCCCCAAGCGUUAUCCGGAUUCAUUGGGCGUAAAGCGUCCGUAGGUGGUUUAUCACAUCUUCUGUUAAAUCUCGGGGCUCAACCUCGAAUCAGCGGGAGAGAUGGAUAGACUAGAGACUGGAAGAGGCACAUGGAAUUGCUGGUGUAGGGGUUAAAUCCAUUAAUAUCAGCAAGAACAUCAAAUGCGAAGGCAAUGUGCUGGGACAGUUCUGACACUCAGUGGACGAAAGCGUGGGGAGCGAAUGGGAUUAGAUACCCCAGUAGUC
rnacentral:rRNA from 1 species